rnacentral:lncRNA from 1 species
AGGGGAUCCACACAGGCCCAAAAGGAGUUUUAUUUAUACAAAUAGUGCCUACCCAGUGCCUAGCAGACACAGGGGUUCCGUGAAGAGUGUCGGGGUUGUAGGGGGGCAGUGGGGGAGGAAAGAAGGCGUCACUGCUGCCCAACCUGGCCAGGGAUGAAGGGGCCUCCCCGUCCCCUAACCCACAACCUAGCGCCUCCCCUGCGUGGCUCUGUGGCCACAACACCCCGGGGCCCUGACCUGCCCCGCCAAAAGCUGCAGCCUCCAAACCCCGCCAAGGUCACGUCGUUUUCUGUCACCAAACUUCCGAGGCUGCUCUGUGUGGCUUUGUGUGGCCUGGCUGCAAACCAGACCCCGAUCACGCCGAUGAGAAGGCCUCGCUGGGGCAGGAACCUGGGCUGGGGCGGAUUCCUGUCCCUGGGGAACUGGAAUGAACGUUCUCUGAGCCCCCAAGCCUUUUUAGUCCCCCUGUCCGUGAGCUGGAGCACCUCACUCUGCCCAGCCCUGCCUGGCCGGCCUGGGAACCUUGACACGAGCUGUUCGUGGGGUUCUGGUUACAGCAGGAGGCAUACAGGGACCUUUAACCGCUGCACGCAGAUUCGGGGGUCUCUGUCCACAGCAGGAGGGGUACAGGGACCUUUAACCGCUGCACGCAGAUUCGGGGGUCUCUGUCCACAGCAGGAGGUGUACAGGGAGCUUUAACCGCUGCAUGCAGAUUGGGGUCUUUGUCCACCUGUGAGAUGCCUCUGAGUCCUGCUCUUCUUCUUCGGGCCACGGCAAAGCCACACAGAGCAGGUUGGAAGUCUGAAUCUGUGACAUGUCAGCUGUAUGACCCUGAGCAGAGCUCUGUUGUCCCACCUGGAAUGUGGCCAUCCCCACCAGCGGGGAGUCCGCACAGCUGUGGGUCUCCUGUGCCCUCAGCUCUGCCUGAAGGAGGACAGGGCAUCAUGGGCUGUGCAUUCCAUGCCAGGGGAAACAUUUUAUCAAUCAAUAACCUCCCUGGCCUGUGGAUCAAGGGGGCACCUUGACGAUCAUUGGAGGGUCAAGGGAAAGAGCUGCUGUUAGCUGAGCACAUACUGUGUGUGCCAUCAGGCGUCUUAUGUCCUUACCAGACCUGCCUUUGUAUUGCCAUGUUCCAGGUGCAACCCCCAGCCCAGGAGGAGACUUGACUCGCCUGAGGUCAGCUGGAGCCAGGAACACCUUUGUGCAACAGCUGCCGUGGCCCAUCUGUGAGAGACACGUGGACCCCGUGCCUCGAAACAGGCAGUGUUGUAAGCACGGGGACAGAGACGUACGUGAGCAGAUGGAACCCCCGAAGACCUGCAGCUGUCAUCCUGGGACUGUGUGCCCGGCACUGUGCUAAAUGCUCCCUGGGGCAUCUCGUGUAACCUUUGCAGGAACCCUAAAAACGACGAUCAGAUUAGCCUCCUCCUCUUGAAAAUGGAGACAAAAUUCAAAUAACAUAAACUUCACCACUUUAACCAUUUUAUUUUAUUUACAUAUUUUUUUUGAGACAGAGUCUCGCUCUGUUGCCAGGCUGGAGUGCAGUGGUGCGAUGUAGGCUCUCUGCAACCUGGGCCUCCCGGGUUCAAGCAAUUCUGUCUCAGCCUCCCGCGCAGCUGGGACUGCAGGGGUGUUCCACCACACCCAGCCAAUUUUUGUAUUUUUAGUAGAGACAGGGUUUCCACAUGUUGGCCAGGAUGGUUUCGGUCUCUUGACCUCAUGAUCUGCCCGCCUUGGCCUCCCAAAGUGCUGGGAUUACAGGCAUGAGCCACUGCACCUGGCCCACUUUAACUAUUUUAAAGGGUACAAUUCAGUGGCGUUCAGUGCAGUCAUGAGGUUGUGCAGCCACCACCUGUAUCUCAUUUCAGAAUAUGCCCAUCACUCCAAAAGGAAAACCCUAUCCCCACGAUCCGUGGUUCCCCAGCCCCCUGGCCCCCAGCCCUAAGCAGCCACUAAGCUGCCUUCUGUCUCUACGGAUUGCCGGUUUUGGGUAUUUCAUGUCGAUGGGAUCAGUGUGUGGCCUUGUGUCUGGCUUCUGUCUCCAGGCAUAUGUUGUCAAGGGCUAUCAUUCCUUUUCUUGGCCAAAUAAUGCUCCAUGUUGUGGACACAUCGUAUUUUGUUUAUCCGUUCACCUGCUGAUGCAUGCCAGAUGGUUGUUUCCAACUUUUUAAUUCCCAUUAUAAAGAUAAGGAAACUGGCCAGGUGCGGUGGCUCAAGCCUGUAAUCCCAGCACUUUGGGAGGCCAAGGCGGGUGCAUCACCUGAGGUCGGGAGUUUGAGACCAGUCUGACCCACACAGCGAAACCCCGUCUCUACUAAAAAUACAAAAAAUCAGCUGGGCGUGGUGGUGUGAGCCUGUAAUCCCAGCUACUCAGAAGGCUGAGGCAUGAGAAUCACUUGAACCUGGGAGGCGAAGGUUGCAGUGAGCUGAGAUCGCGCCACUGCGCUUCAGCCUGGGAGACAGAGACUCUGUCUCUAAAUAAAUAAAUAAACAAACAAAUAAAUAAAUGUAAACUGAGGCUAAACCGCUCCACUCAGGGUCAACACCUGCCCUGUGACCCAGCAGUUCCACUUUUCGGUAUUUAUCUAGGAGAAAUGAGAACACAUGUCCACACAAAGACCUGUGCACAAAUGUUCACAGCAUCUUUCUCUGUAAUAACUUCGAGCUGGCAACGAUCCAAAUAUCCAUCCACAGGAGCUGGGUAAACAAACCGUGGUGUCAUCCUGGAGUGGGACGCUCCUCAUCAGGAAAGAGGAAAGAAUGACCCAUGCACGCAGCAGCUUGGAAGAGUCUCAAAAACAAGAUGCCAAUGAAGGAAGCCAGGCACGGGACUGCAACUGUAAGCUGUGACUCUGUGUGACUCCAGCGGUACGAACUUCCAGGAAAAGCAAAAAUAUGGGACAGAGUAUCCACAAGUGGCAUUCAGGGACUGGAGUGGGAACUGGCAGGGAAAGGGGAAAUGUAUUGAUUAUUUCGAUUGCAGUGGUGGGGAGGAGGGUGGACACCUGUGCCAAACUCACUUAAAACGGAUGUAUUUUAUUGUAUAAAUUAUGCCUCAAUGAAAUCCAUUCAUAAAAAGAAGCUGAGCCUGGGCACGGUGGCGCAUAGCUGUAAUUCCAGCACUUUGGGAGGCCGAGGCGGGCCAAUCACGAGGUCAGGAGUUCGAGACCAGCCUGGCCAACAUGGCGAAACUCCGUCUCUUCUAAAAAUACAAAAAUUAGCUGGGUGCAGUGGCAGGUGCCUGUAAUCCCAGCUACUCCAGAAGGCUGAGACAGAAGAAUCGCUUGAACCAGGGAGAUGCAGAUUGCAAUGAGCCGAGCCGAGAUGGCACCAUUGCACUCCAGCCUGGUGACAGAGCAAGAAUCUGUCUCAAAAAAAAAAAAAACCCAGGAAGCUGAGUUUCCCAGCCCUCCAUGCCUGCUGUUCUCCGUGCUCCCCAUGCUCAGCCCCAGCUCUCUGGGCCAUGUAGCCUGGGAUUCCCUUUAUUUCGCUUGGUGCCUGAGUGCAGCACUUGGAGUCCCGCCAGUGCUGGGCACGAAGUAAGUUCACCGGGAAACCUGGCGGCUGCUGACCGAGCUCUGUUGUCUCCCUGGACGGGGGCAGAGCUGUGUCUGGGAGGAGUUCUGUUCAGAACCCAAGCCACAGCCCACAUGGCUGGGACUAGAAGCCAGGUCCCCACUGGACCUGCAUCUGAUCUGGCCCUGACUCUUCAGACCGGCAGUGUAAACGCCUCCACUCCUGGAGUCCACACCGCUGGGCCGAGGCAGCCUGGCAGCCCCUCCGAGGCCAAGCAGGGGCCACGUCCUGGUUAUCAACCUUCCUCCCACAGCCUGCAGCUACCCCAAGCCCCCAGGUUGGCCACCAACUCUAUCUACCUCACAGAUGAGGGAAACUGAGGCUCAGAGAGGUGAAGUCCCUUGCCCUGGGUCUCGCAGCAUGCGGGUGGCAGUCCUAGGAUGCACACACAGGUCUUGGGUCCAAGCGUGUCCACUGGUGGGCUUCCUCACCACGCAGAGCCUCGCCCUGAGCGAAUUUGGGUCAAAACGCAAGACACUGAUGCUGGGAUGUGUGGCCCUGGGAGCAGAAAGCUGGGGGCUGAGAGCUGGGGGCUGAGAGCUGGGGACUGCUGGGCCCUGGGGACGGCUAAGCUCUGGGUCACGGCUGGCAGGAUGGCCCCGGAGGCUGUUCCUGCUGCUCCCCAAGAAGCAGCCAAGAUGGGGUUGCAAGGGCUGCACGUGUGCACAGGGCCUGUGAGGGCUGGGGGCUCUGUGGGGGAUACUGGGAUCAGUUUGUAUGUGUCUGUGUGUGUGUGUAUGUGUCUGUGUGUGUGUGUGUCUGUGUGUGUGUGUGUGUCUGUGUGUGUGUGUGUGUAGCUGCAUGUGUGUGCCUCUGUCUGUGUCUGUGUGUGUCUCUCUUUGGGUGUCUCUGUGUCUCUCUGAUUCUGUGUGUGUCUGUCUCUUUGCAUGUCUGUUUCUGUAUCUCUGUGUGCCUCUGACACACUCUGUCUCUGUCUUUGUGUCUCUGUAUUUCUCAGUGUCUCUCUGUAUCCCUGUCUGUCUUUCUGGGCCCCUGUGUGUCUCUCCAUCUCUGUAUCUCUGUCUCUGUAUCUGUCUCACAGCAUCCUGUGUGUGUGUCUCUCUGUCUCUGUAUCUCUGUCUCUGUAUCUGUCUCACAGCAUCCUCUGUGUGUGUCUCUCUGUCUCUGUAUCUCGUUCUGUCUCUCUGCUCCCCACUCUGUGUGUCUCUUUGUGUCUCUCUGUCUCUGUAUCUCGUUCUGUCUCUCUGCUCCCCGUUCUGUGUCUCUCUGUCUCUGUAUCUCUGUCUCUGUAUCUGUCUCACAGCAUCCUGUGUGUGUGUCUGUCUCUGUAUCUCAUUCUGUCUCUCUGCUCCCCGCUCUGUGUGUGUCUCUCUGCGUGUCUCUCUGUCUCUGUAUCUCGUUCUGUCUCUCUGCUCCCCGUUCUGUGUGUGUCUCUCUGUCUCUGUAUCUCUGUCUCUGUAUCUGUCUCACAGCAUCCUGUGUGUGUCUCUCUGUCUCUGUAUCUCGUUCUGUCUCUCUGCUCCCCGCUCUGUGUGUGUCUCUGCAUCUCUAUCUCCCUCCAUCUCUGUGCAUGGUCAGGUUCACAGCGUCCCUCUCCUGCCUCUGGGCUCCUGAGUGGCACAGUGAGAAGAAGGCCCCUCUCCGGGCAGAUGGAAUGAGGGGAUGGGCCAGCCCUGACUCGGUGGCUCCUUCUGAGGCUGCUCUAGCACCUCCAGGCAGCAGGAAGAGGCGUUCAGGCCUUU